rnacentral:lncRNA from 1 species
GUCCAAGUUCACUUAUGCAUGGGCAUAGAAAGUACACUCACAGAUGUCUAUUCCUUGACUACAUCUUUCUGGAAAUGCAUGCAUGCCCGUGUGAGCAUUAACACACACAGAUAUGAAGACAUCAGUUUCUUGCAUCGUCUAUCAAAUCUAAAUAUGAUCACAUGCACUUAUAUCGUAUUUUUAACUCUCUUUGCAAAGAUCUCCAAGUUUGUCUCUAAUCUAUUAUAUUUUCAGAUCUUGACAGUUUUCAUGCUGUAGUUUAGAAUAUGGCAUGAAUAAAAAGAGAAUUUUUCUUGGACUAUGUUCAUUGGAAUAGCAAAUAUUUAGUAAUACUUUUAUCCCCCAUCCUACCCCUCCAAAAAAAGCAUGGAAGGUUAAGGGAAAAGGGGGGUGGGGGGAUAGUAAAUGGAAACAUACCUUAUUUCUGCACUAAAGUUUUUGAUGCAAAACAUCUCCCAAUAGUAGUGGAGGCACUGAAAGAAGGCGCUUCCUUUCAUGCAGUCAGCUCAUGUCAAAUUCACUUGAUUUUGUGUCCGUGGUGCUGAUGCUGGAUCCUGAUGAAUAAAAAUGUAUUAUCUUCACAUGAAGUAAUAUGGGAUUUAGGAAUUAUUUGUCUGAAGUGGCAUGGGGGACUUGGUCUAUAGAUUCAAGAUUUGGUUCAGCAAUGAUUGAUCACUAGUGGAGUCUUUAUCUUCUGAAGACAUCCGUUUGAGAAAUAUCAACAAACUAGAAUCAUUUUAACCUUGGUACAGUGUGUGAAUUCUUUUGUAGUUGUCAUCUAUUUGUAACUUAUGCUGCCUUUGCAUUUCUUACUUGCACGCAUGACUGAAAUCAAUUAAGAAAUCCUGUGGAUAUACCUAGCAUUGAAGCUUGUUAUAGCCAUAUGAAAACUCUUGUUCUUUUCAAAACAUGGUCAGGAACCACUUUCUUGGCUCGUGGGUUCAGAUGUCGUAGUGGUUGAUCCUCCCCGGAAGGGGCUGGAUCUGUCUCUGCUGGAUACACUACGGUCUCUGUCAUCUUUGGAGCUCAAAGCCAAUCUUCCUGAAAGGUGUGGAACUUAGAUGGAUUCCUCACUUCUAAUUCUAAAUGUGCAAUCUCUAUUGGGUGGCAGAAACUAAAAAGUGAUAUGUUUGUGUGCUUACCCUUCAUUGGUUAUUCCAGUACCGGUGGGAAGGUAAAAAAUGAAAAAAGACCAUGGAUUCUGAGAGAGAGAGAAACUUCAGUGCAGGUUAAGAGCAGCACAGUACAAGAAGAAAGUCGGUCCUUGCCUGAAACUCUAAUUUAUAUAAGUUGUGGAUGGGAUAGUUUUAAAGAGGUGUGUUUACCCUUACUUCUCAUAGUUUAAAGAGCUGCUAAAUAAUAAAGAAAAAGUUUAAUCUUUAUUCAGUUGUUUGAUUUUUAGCUAGGCAAAAGUGUCACUGUCUGCUUGAGCUUCUAUUGCUGCCAUUUAACUUACAGGAUUGCAUGUCACUGCUCUCUUGUAAGGCCUGGUAUUUGGACAAAGCACAUGGCUUCAAUUUUUUCCCUGGAACACAAAGGUAUUCAUACCUCUCUCUCUCUCUCUCUCUCUCUCUCUCUCUCUCUCUCUCUCUCUCUAGCAUGUUAGAUAAGGAGGAUCGUAUAGAUUUGGACAAUACUAAAUAGGAAAAAGAAGCUAAAAAUCUUGUUCAUUAUAGUGUCCAAGCAUGUCCUGUACCAAAAAUGCACUUCAUGUGACCAAUGAAGCCAAGGCCUAGUUCAAGUAGCAAGACUGGAGCCUUCCCAGGUCAAUGGACUAGAUUCUAGCCUCCUUUUGUGGGGUGAAAUCCUUUAUCCCCCUUCUAAACCGGGGAGCCAAUAGAAGGUUUGAAUCGUCCCAUCUCCCAUGCCUUCUAGAAUUUGUGGGGUGCAAUCCUUUAUCCCCCUUCUUAAAAAAAAAAAAAAUGAGGAACUAAUAGAAGGUUUGAAUUGUCCCAUCUCCCAUGCCUCCUGAAACUUAUCCCUUAAUUUUAGUAGUUUGCCUUGUUUGUUGUACUUUUGAGUCAACCCUACCCAGUUGAGAAGAAGAGGGUCAGCCAAACUGCAAUCCACUUUGUACAUAUGCUGAGACCAAUCAAUCAUUUUAAAAUAGGAAAAGGAGCGGUGACCACUGAGGAUGGUCUAAUUAUUCAGUUUAUUGUGGGAUUGGGGUGCCUUGCGGGGUUUGCCACGAAGAGAAAGAUCCAUUCUCUGGGUUAUCUUACCAUGAGGAUUUUCUUUUCUGGAAAUAUGCUAUAUUCACAUGUUUGUGUUGCAUCAGCUAAUGACUCUGUUCUUUUAUUCAUUGGACUAAUUGUUUGGUUCCUAAUUUACCAAUCAAAUGCACUAUUAUUAAUGUAGCAUUGAGGUCCUGGCCGUGUUUAAAAGAGGCACUAAACCAAACAUCAAGAGAAGAAAAUCUGGAAAAAAGAAAAGGCCCUCUUGAGGUGCACUAUUUCAUCCUGUCGAGUAUUACGAGGGAUAAAAUGCUUCUCAUGAAAAGCCUAAAGAGAUGGUAUGGAGUAAAUGCACAACGAAAAGGAAGAAUAUCUAUUCAGUCACAUUUGAAUAGAAAGAAGUUCCAGACUGCAGUCUACACUGCCCUUAUGGAAAAAUAUUUUUUAUUUAGGCUGCUGGAUCUAACGAAAUAUAUAUACGAUAAACUGCACAUGUUUCAGAUAUUAUUUUGUAAUGAUGAACAUUUUAUGCACCCAUGGUUCCUUUUAUCCUUGUGAAAUUGGGACUAAGAGUAACAUUUUGUUAAAUUUAUUAAAAGCUUUUGCCAGAAGAAAAUGAACUUAUAGCACCUUAGCAAUUGAAUAG